rnacentral:misc_RNA from 1 species
AUUCGACUGAAACAUUUCAGGGGAAUUUUUGUCAUUGGCCCUUUAAUUAGAAUAUAUCGUGGGAAGAUCGUUUCUAAGAAGUAUUCGAAGUAAAAUAUUCAGCUACGAUAAUGCCCGGCAUAAAGAUCACUGAUGAUGAUCGAAAGAGCCUGGAACAGGCAUUCUUCUGUACUCUGUGUAAAGAUCUGCUGGCAAAUCCUUUUCAGACCUACUGUGGGCAUUUGAUUUGUGAAACUUGUGUUCACACAUUAAUGGGUUGUUCUAACCCAAAAUGCCCAGAGGAUGGAAAACAACUCAAGAAGGAAGAACUGUUUCCGGAUUAUUUUAUUCAACGCAAGCUGCAAGAGUUGAUCUUUCACUGUCUCGAUGCUAGCUGUGGCUGGUCUGGAUGUUAUAAUAAACUUCAAGAUCAUACAAGUACAAUGUGUGAGAGUGUUCUUGCAAUUUGCAAAUUCGAAUCAUCGAGAAGGGAUAUUGAGCGACAAAAGGUUGUGUGUGAAGUGAUCACAGGAGAAUACGAUUUUUUUUCUAUGGACAACGAUGAGACACGGAACGGUACCUUGGUGUGGAAGAUUGAGGGCUAUGAGAGGAAGCGAGAGGAUGCCAUCAAUGGAAGAAAGACCAUAUUGUACAGUCCACACUUCUACAGCGCUCAGUUUGGCUACAAAAUGUGCGCAAAAAUCUACUUUAACGGCAAUGGAUUAGGGAAAAUGUCUCAUUUAUCGUUGUUUAUUGUUGUGAUGCGAGAACAUGCGCAGCCGUCGGAGAAUGUUUCUACCACUUUUAAGAUUCAGUAACUUAUGCGAUUCUGUACAAAAUAUCAACACAUUCAAAUGGUGUUGGUUUCCUAAAAAAUACCUUCGAUUUAUUCUCGCGAGAGUUCAAAAAGGGCAGGAUAAGUGAGCACGACGAACGCCAAUCUUGGCCAUUUGAGAAAAAAAUUACUCUGAUGUUAAUGAAUCAAGGUGAUGGUGAUCACG